AAACAGUAAAACUUUAUUUUCUCCCAAAUCACAAAAAAAUUCCGUCAAAUUGAAGAACACGCUCUUUAGGCUUUUCUCUCCAAGUAUGAAGAACACAAUUUCCAUCAAACUUUCUCACAGAUUUCUUGUUGAAGAGCUGAAGAGCUGUUCCGUCAUAUUCUCGCUGAAGAGUUGUUCUCGCUGAAGGUUAGGCCUAACAGAUGAACACGCCUCAUUAAAAGAUUUCUUGUUGAAAAUUGAACAAAAUGCUUCACUUGAGAAGAGGGUGUCUUAAAGCUUCAUUACAUUGAAAAGAUUUUGUUGGAUUAGGGUUUAUCAGGUACAUUUGUCCAGAUCAGGUAAAUCCUUCUGAAUUACAGUACAUCACUAGUCUAGUACACUUUCAUACUGUAUAGCUUUCCACAGAAUUAGUGUACAGGUUAUAGAAUCAAUUUACAGUACAUACAGUAGGUUAUAGCUUGCACUAAACUCAGUUGUACAGGUUAUAAAAUCAAUUUACAGUACAUACAGUAGGUUAUAGCUUGAACUAAACUCAGCUGUACUGGUUAUAGAAUCAGUGUACAUGUUAUAGAAGUAGUUUACAGUACAGACAGUAGGUUAUAGCUUGAACUAAACUCAACUGCUGCAAUCUUCUAUUAUCAAUUACUCUUAUCACAACUUAUCAAGAGAAGUAAAGAA